GACGAACGCUGGCGGCGUGCCUAAUACAUGCAAGUAGAACGCACAGUUUAUACCGUAGCUUGCUACACCAUAGACUGUGAGUUGCGAACGGGUGAGUAACGCGUAGGUAACCUGCCUGGUAGCGGGGGAUAACUAUUGGAAACGAUAGCUAAUACCGCAUAAUAUUAAUUAUUGCAUGAUAAUUAAUUGAAAGGUGCAAUUGCACCACUACCAGAUGGACCUGCGUUGUAUUAGCUAGUAGGUGAGGUAACGGCUCACCUAGGCGACGAUACAUAGCCGACCUGCGAGGGCGAUCGGCCACACUGGGACUGAGACACGGCCCAGACUCCUACGGGAGGCAGCCGUAGGGAAACUUCGGCAAUGGGCGGAAGUCUGACCGAGCAACGCCGCGUGAGUGAAGAAGGUUUUCGGAUCGUAAAGCUCUGUUGUAAGAGAAGAACGGGUGUGAGAGUGGAAAGUUCACACUGUGACGGUAUCUUACCAGAAAGGGACGGCUAACUACGUG
rnacentral:rRNA from 1 species